AAAAGACUCUCUUCCUCCCCCGAUUCAUUUCUUCCCCUCGUCUCCCCCGCCGCCUCCCACCGGAGACCAAGAGCUGCGCCCUCUCCCCCUAACCCUAGGCCCCAGACCGAGUAGGUCAAGCGGCGGCCAUGGCGCCCCAAGGUCCGCCUCCUCCGUCUGGUUCCUGCUCGAUCUCCUCCAGCUCCAGAUCCUCCACAAUCUCGCGCGACGGGAGAGGAGCCUCCGCCUGCUUCUUCUCCGGCGACGGCGCGGCCGUGCGCCCCUGACGCCACUCUUCCGCGCGAGGAGAAAGCUGCCUGCAGCCCGGCUGCUCCGACCCUAGUGCCGGCGCCAUGGUCCAGGGCCAGAUUAUCCACAAUCUCGCGCGAAGGGAGAGGAGCCCCCGCGUGCUUCUUCUCCGGCGACCGCCCGGCCGUGCGCCCCUGAAGCCGCGUGAGGAGAAAGCUGCAUGCGGCCCGGCUGCUCCGACCCUAGUGCCGACGCCAUGGUCACCGGCAAGAUCCCCUUCUCCCUCUAUCGGCCCUCUUCUCCUCCCCGGCCACCGUCGUGGCCUUUGAGGACAAGGACGACGGCUGCGCGCUUGGCGUCGGCGGAUUCCACCAUCUCGUCAUCACCUUCCAGGUCGCUCUACACCCGGACAUGGGACUGGCGCGCGGGCGCCGACAUCUGUGCGCCCGAGAUCGUCGGAGCCGCAUCAGGCUGGUUAACAUCCUCUGCUACACCCCCGACGCGGGAGCGGGAUGCAUCGACCUCAACCCCCUGCCGCAGGAGGUCGAGGGCCGCCGGGACUGGGAGACCGCCGAGAUGCCGGGCAGAUUCAGCGCCGACCAGAGCGCCAAGGAGGUGGCCGUGCUCUACGUGGUGCCCGGCGACCGCGCCGGCCAGUUCCACGCCGAGAAGAUGGGCUACCAUGACGAGAUGGUCCUGCUCUGCUCCCAGGGCACCGCUGAGGUGCUCGUGCUGGCUGCCAGACCUUGAUAAUACUCGGAUUUCAUCCCCUUACGUCAGCUCAAUCGGGGACAUCUUCUCUACAGGCUCCAUCGGCCUCCUCUCCGGCGGAAGAUACUACUUGGAUUUCAUCCCCUACGUCAGCUCAUACGCGGAGAUCAUCUCUACAGUUGCGUCGACCAGAGCGCCAAGGAGGUGGCCGUGAUCUACAUGGUGCCCGGCGACCGCGCUGGCCAGUUCCACGAAGGAGGUGGCCGUGAUCUACAUGGUGCCAGACUUUGAUAAUACUUGGAUUCCAUCCCCUACGUCAGCUCAUUUGCGGACAUCUUCUCUACAGGAAUGUAACCCAUGGAAGUUUCUGCUGGACGUGGAGGCAGAGAUGUGGGCAUCAAGUUUCACAAAGAUGGAUGUUUACUUAGUAUGUCAACUUUCUUUUUAUGCAAGUCUCUCAGGUCCACUAGAGACUGCCGUGUGGUGUGCGCUGGGGAGAACAUCACCAGCGAAUGCGCUCACUCCGAAGCCUUCCACCCUGCCUCUCCAGUGGCCGCUUCUUCUUCGACUCCGGCAUAGUCUCCAGCAACGGUGGUGUGCCGCUUUGCUUCUGGCGCCAACGAGGCGACUGGGCUGUUGUCCCGUAACCUCGGUAUCAGAUCCCACGACUGUCUCCUCAGCUAACACUACUUAGGAACCUCGAAAUCAUGGUUGGUUGUUAUAAGAUGAGGGAUCUUGAUUGACAUGCUCAAGGGCCACGUGGUUGGUUGUGAAGCUGAAGUGAUGCAUCUCAUACCUGGGACUUGUUCUUUAUUUCUUUGCUGGAGGUGUCGCCAAACUGUGGUAAUUAACUCAUGAGUCCUUUGGUGCCGAUGCAUGUCAGUAGCAACUUUGUGCCAAACUUAGUGAUUUGUCGUCGGCGCAGCCUGUUGGUUGUCGUCGUGGUCUCCAGCAACGGUGGUGCGCCACCUUGCUUCUUGCUCCAACGAGAUGACGGGGUUGUCGCCCCCAUACCCUCGGUGUCAGAUCCCACGACUGCCUCCUCAGCUACCACUACUUAAGAACCUGGAAGUCAUGGUUGGUUGUUACAGAGUGAGGGAUCUUGAUUGAUAUGAUCAAGGGCCACAUGGUUGGUAUUGAAGCUGAGUGUUGCAUUUCAUACCUGGGGACUUGUGCUUCGUUUCUUUGCUGGAGGUGUCGCCGAACUGUGGCAUUGAACUCGUGAGUCCUUUGGUGCUGGCUUGGUCCCCUGAUGUGGUUUCCUCACGCACACAGGUGCACGACAGAGUCGCUGUGUGGUGUGCGCAGUGAUCCUUCUUCCACUCCGAGGACUCCCGCCCUGCCCCUCCUGUGGUCUCGAUUCCUCUUCCACUCUGGCAUAGCUGGUGGAUAUGGUACACCAUCAUCAUCAAUGAGAGAAGGGGUUCAUUGUGCCAGGCAAGGUGCAUGGUGGUAGGCUCAGUCUGCUGCUUCAGCGUCUUCCGUUGGUCCCGCUAUCGUGCGGCGGAGAUGGUGCUUUUUGGCAUCGGCUACAAAAUAGCCAUGGUGAGCUCCUCUCAUGCCUCUGCUCGUCGCCUCCGGUUGCUCUGAGCUUGUGGCCGUCGAGCCACGACUAUGGUAGUCAUUGUUGCCGGGAUCGGGGAACGAGGCAGCGACCCUCGAACCAGGUUCGUCGUCCCGAAUCGAGGGUCGGGGUCGACGAGUGGAACGACGAGGGUCGAUGUCGGGGGCGCGAUCCCGGACGCUAGGACUAGGAUUCGAACCACUUCAGCGACACCAAAAAUCAACACUGGGUCUCGAUUCCAAUUUCCCAUCGCAAACAGAAACAGGAGGUACUGAUUCAUCGAGGCGCUGAGAUUUACAGGAGUCCAUGGCAUCCAGGCGUUGUGGUGCUUCCUCACCGCGCCGCUGAUCCUAACCAAGUACAAGCUGCUGCGGCCUGUCCGGAGCCUUGUUGGCGAGGCGGCGCGCUCGUGCAGGGUGAGGGCGGCGCGUCCCAGAGGUUGCUUCACUCGGUGAGCAGCUCGAGCUCUACGACGACGCCGGCCGAGGUCAUGCUGGGCUAGGGCGCGCGGUUCAGGAAGUUCAUCCGCGGAUGUCGCGUGCGUUCCGUGCGCUCACUAGGCUCGCACUUGUAUUUGGAUGUUCCACACUUUCCUUGAAAAAACAGCCAUAUAGGUAACCUAGAUAACUGGCUUACCUACAAGCCAUGUAAUUAGGGAUCUGCUACCAGUAUAAUGGAAUCAAUCAAUUUCAUCCUUUUUCUGUCACGGUGAUUUAUAGAUUCCUAACUAAUGCACUCUCGUGUAGUUGCGUUCCUCCACACGCCGUAUCGUUCCCGGGUCAUCGUUCCCAAAUUGAUUGGAUCACGUUCCACCUAUCGAUCGGUUCACAAGAGAGAUGUAUUCCCACAUCGUUCCCUGCUAUGGCUAUCUGGCGAUUCUCGACCCUCGUUCCCGUCCCUCGACCCCGUCGUCCCGGGAACUUGGCAACUAUGAUGGUAGUAGCUUUGGUUUCAUGGCCAUCGUGCCAUGGCUAUGUCUGUUAGUAACUGGUCAGUACUAUCUGUGUUAGUGCUUGUGCUGUGCUUAUGCGAGCUAUGCUUCAGGAAUACCAAGUUUUUGUGCUGAAGAAUUUAAAACGAUCUCCUUAACUAUUAUCUUUAGGUAUAGAAUGAAAAACUUAGCUCACAAAGUUUCUUGUUCCCUGUUUAUAUGGUCGCAGUCUAUCUGCAUCUUGUUUUACAAUACUAUUGAUUGCCUAUGAAAUUGGAAUCUGUUCCCUGUUUAGGCAAGGGUGAUAAUAACUCGUACAAUCCAGAUUUUCUUCUUUUUAAUAGCUUAGUACAGAUUUUAAUUUUAGAACAUAACAGGACUAGUUUAUUGUUAGUGUUUUAUUAUAGAAAUUUGAGGGAGUUCAAGAUUGAUACAGUAUACUACUCCCUCCGUCCCGAAAAACAUGUCACGAGGGUUAUUUUUCAAAAAAACCCUCAAGUUUCUCCUGACCAAACCCGCACUCCUUGUCAUCCUCCUCCGACAGUAUCCCCAGCUGUGCUGCUCCCCGCCGCCGUCGCUUCCCCGCUCCCCCGCCGCAGCUGCUCUGCUCCCCGCCGCGGCGGCUCCCCUGCUCCUCCACUCCCUCGCCGCAGCUGCCUCCUGCUCCGUCGCCGCUCGCUGCCUCCCCAAGCUCCCCCCUACCUCAUAAAAAUCUUCGAUUUCCGCCGCGCUGAUGAGCUCGACGACGAGGCGUCGCGGCUGGUGUUGUAGGCGUCGGGCGCGACAGACCGAGGCGCUGCGGCGGGGCGGCUUCGGCCUGGAGUGCGGGCGCUACUGCAACGGCGAACCGGAGGAGAGGCUCCGGCAGUGGAGCCAGGCAUGGCUUGGCGUCGCCAAGAAAAUCUCGCCGCCUUCCCUUUCUUAUUUCGCGCGCGCCAUAACACUGGCGGCAGAGCUUUGACCUCGCCUCGCUGGAGGUUAAUCCCCUCACUGUCCUUCCUCUCCUAAAAGCGCCCUAAUCCCGGGCGGAGAGGACCUCAGCCGGCGCCUGGCGCGCCUCUCCAUUUCCUUCUCUUGUUCACUCCGCGUCGGCUGCGGGCGAGACCUCCCAGUAGCACCGCAGCGAUGUCGUCGGCGGCGGGGACACCAUCGGACUGCGGAGGGGAUAGGCCGUGGCAGUCAUACCACACCGCCUACACCAACGCCAAAGCUGGAAUGGAGGGAGUUGACAAAGAGAAGGUGCAGAAGAUGAUCUAUGAAAUGAGCAAGGGUUCUAAAUAUUUCGAAAAUGAGCAGAAGAAGGAGGCGAUUACCAAACUUAAAAUCAAGCAUCUGGGCGCACAGUGUGCAAAGUUAACUGAUAAUGACAUAUCACAUGUUCAGAAGCAUCUCCAAGUCCUACAGCCUGGGUCAUCUCUGUCACCAACACAUACAACCUGGGAUAUGGUACACCAUCAUCGUCGAUGUAGGAUAUGGUACACCAAUUGAUGUGCACCGUAUUGGCUAGCUAAAUAGUUAAAUAGCUUAAUUUGUGGCUCCAAGGAAUUCAAUGUUGUUGUGAUUUUGCUAAGCUCUUGUAUGGAUCAUUUUGUACAACGAUUGCACUUGGGCCGUCCUGGAGUAAUGUGCAUGUGGGUCCGCAGCUCUCGUCGGCGUGACCUAGUGGUUGGCGUCUUAGUCUCUGGCGACGGUGGUGCGCCACCUUGCUUCCGGCAUUGAGGGGAUGGCAAGGUUGUUGCUCCUUAACCUUGGUCAUGGCUCCAACGACUGCCUCUCUGGCUACCUAUACUUAGCGUUCCUGCACCCUUGGUCUAUCAUAGGAAGGUGGAAGGUCUGAAGCCAAAGGUGGAACAAGGAAUGUCAAAUGCAGUAGAUGCAAACAAAUUGACUGGCAAAAGCUGUAGCAGGAUGGCACCACCUAAAUACCAGGAAUUGGCGGUCCAGAAGGUGAAUACACAAGUGCCAAUCAAAAAGGUUCAGAGAUGAGAAAAUUCAGAGCUUAGAACAGAAGGGAUGCAGGGAGAGGAAGCGAGGGGUUCGUCGCGGCGGACCGGCGGCGCGCCGUUCGCACGCGCGCAAGGCGACGGCGGCAACAGCCCUGCCGGCCGGCCGGCGCAGUGGCUGUGACGGCGGCCCGACAGUUCGUGUGCGAUCUGCGGAUGCGGCUAUGGCGGAGCAGCGGAGGGGAGGUGCUGGUUCGUCUCGCGUCUGAUAGAUCGAUCUAUUUUUUGGCGACGAUGUAUCCGUGCGAUGCGCUUCUGGGCCAAGGUGUGGACUCGAGGAGAAGGUGGGCUACUGGGCCAGCCUAUGUUUUGGGCUUCUAAAUGCUUACCAAGCACGUUGGCGACUUGGCGUACCAAUUUCGUUUUUUCUUAUACUGACACAGUAUAUAUGCUAUAUAUACCUAUUUUU